rnacentral:rRNA from 1 species
AUGAACGCUGGCGGCGUGCCUCAUACAUGCAAGUCGAGCGAACAGACGAGGAGCUUGCUCCUCUGACGUUAGCGGCGGACGGGUGAGUAACACGUGGAUAACCUACCUAUAAGACUGGGAUAACUUCGGGAAACCGGAGCUAAUACCGGAUAAUAUAUUUAACCGCAUGGUUCAAUAGUGAAAGACGGUUUUGCUGUCACUUAUAGAUGGAUCCGCGCCGCAUUAGCUAGUUGGUAAGGUAACGGCUUACCAAGGCAACGAUGCGUAGCCGACCUGAGAGGGUGACCGGCCACACUGGAACUGAGGCACGGUCCAGACUCCUACGGGAGGCAGCAGUAGGGAAUCUUCCGCAAUGGGCGAAAGCCUGACGGAGCAACGCCGCGUGAGUGAUGAAGGUCUUCGGAUCGUAAAACUCUGUUAUUAGGGAAGAACAAAUGUGUAAGUAACUAUGCACGUCUUGACGGUACCUAAUCAGAAAGCCACGGCUAACUACGUG